UCCUCCUCUGCACCGUACGUCAGUGAAUUAAAACCGCCGCUACCACGUGCAGCAACUUAAAUCGGGAUUUCAAAUCGCCUCUACACCACGAUUUCAGCCACCUCUACACCACGUUUCGAUUUUUCGGCGACAAGUUUUGUGUUACGGGAUUUGCAUUUCACGUCAUAUGGAGACAUAUAUGGGCACGAACGUCAGCGAAUGGAAAUGCUACCUAACAAACAAGAAAUCAAAAUCCUUCCAGCUGCUUCGUGGCAAAUAUUGUACAACACAACAAUGUUGUACAUCAACGACAUUCUUGUAAUUGACUUUGCCGUGCGUAUUACAUCAAAGCACUUCGAGGAGGUGAAAAAGAAGGGUACGAUAGAUGUUGAGAAGAUGGUCACGAACUACCACAAACAAUGACCUAUUAUGAACUUUUUUUCUUCUUCAAAUAUGGAGUUUGGUUUCUUUAUUGGUUUUUCGUGUAGAUGAUUUAAUUGAUAUUUUGAUUUAGUGACUACUUGUAUCUAAAACAAGUCGGUUUUAUUUUGUUGUAGCUAAUGUUGGUGAUAUAAUUUGAAAGUUCUUUGUUGCGUA